rnacentral:rRNA from 1 species
UACGAAGGGGGGCUAGCGUUGCUCGGAAUCACUGGGCGUAAAGCGCACGUAGGCGGAUUGCUAAGUCAGGGGGUGAAAUCCUGGAGCUCAACUCCAGAACUGCCUUUGAUACUGGCGAUCUCGAGUCCGGAAGAGGCGAGUGGAACUCCUGGUGUAGCGGUGGAAUGCGCAGAUAUCAGGAAGAACACCAACGGCGAAGGCAGCUCGCUGGGGACGGUACUGACGCUGAGACGCGAAAGCGUGGGGAGCGAACAGG